CUAGUUUCAACCUAUUCAAUACCACACUCGUUCUCGAGGGGUUCCACGAUCUGUGGUAACACCUCUUCACACGCUUUUGUAUGUUGUUUCCUUCUGUACGAAGCCCGAAUCCACCGUCUGUGAUUAUUUCUUUUGACAUAUCGUAAAUUUUGAUUGUUUGAUCAUCCGCCAAGUUCAGUCAUCAAUAACUCGCAAAUGUUGCUGUUGCUUGAAGACAUUCAGAAUAUUCUUUCAUAAGUUCGGUCCUUCAACGGAUUAUGCGUGUGUCGUAGUCUACUCAUACACAGGAUGAAUACUCACUCGCGAUCGGUCCCUUCAAUGAAGAAAACGAGGAUUUGAACUUGUCAAAUCGUUACUGACUGUGUCACAGUACAUUCCUACUACUGCAAAUCAUUUUGUUUGACUGUUUCAUGCACAGAAUGUUCAUACUUCCACUGCAAAGAGUUGAUUGGUGUAUGGAACAUGUGAGAAAUCCCUUUGACGUACACUAACACAUAAAAGACCACUAUUAAGCAAACGUUGACGGAGAGAUUUUUAAUGAUGCAUUUGGUAAGUUUAUUUUAUUUUAAUUAAUAAAUUCUACAUUGUCACUGCUGUCACACUAUGCAA